rnacentral:rRNA from 1 species
UGAGGAAUAUUGGUCAAUGGACGGGAGUCUGAACCAGCCAAGUAGCGUGCAGGACGACGGCCCUAUGGGUUGUAAACUGCUUUUAUAGGGGGAUAAAGUGUGUCACGUGUGGCAUAUUGCAGGUACCCUAUGAAUAAGGACCGGCUAAUUCCGUGCCAGCAGCCGCGGUAAUACGGAAGGUCCGGGCGUUAUCCGGAUUUAUUGGGUUUAAAGGGAGCGUAGGCCGGAGAUUAAGCGUGUUGUGAAAUGUAGACGCUCAACGUCUGCACUGCAGCGCGAACUGGUUUCCUUGAGUACGCACAAAGUGGGCGGAAUUCGUGGUGUAGCGGUGAAAUGCUUAGAUAUCACGAAGAACUCCGAUUGCGAAGGCAGCUCACUGGAGCGCAACUGACGCUGAAGCUCGAAAGUGCGGGUAUCGAACAGGAUUAGAUACCCUGGUAGU